rnacentral:miRNA from 1 species
UGAAACCUCCUACUAUGUCGC